UUGGUAUGGAGGAUGGAAAAG
rnacentral:miRNA from 1 species